UGCCAGCAGCCGCGGUAAUACGGAGGGGGUUAGCGUUGUUCGGAAUUACUGGGCGUAAAGCGCGCGUAGGCGGUCUUGUCGGUCAGAUGUGAAAGCCCGGGGCUCAACCCUGGAAGUGCAUUUGAAACAGCAAGACUUGAAUACUGGAGAGGAGAGCGGAAUUCCUGGUGUAGAGGUGAAAUUCGUAGAUAUCAGGAGGAACACCGAUGGCGAAGGCAGCUCUCUGGACAGAUAUUGACGCUGAGGCGCGAAGGCGUGGGUAGCGAACGGGAUUAGAUA
rnacentral:rRNA from 1 species